rnacentral:rRNA from 1 species
UACGAAGGGGGCUAGCGUUGCUCGGAAUCACUGGGCGUAAAGCGCGCGCAGGCGGCGAUCUACGUCUGGGGUGAAAGCCCGGAGCUCAACUCCGGGACUGCCUUGGAUACGGGAUCGCUUGAGAAUUGGAGAGGCAAGGGGAAUUCCACGUGUAGCGGUGAAAUGCGUAGAUAUGUGGAGGAACACCUGUGGCGAAGGCGCCUUGCUGGCCAAUUUCUGACGCUGAGGCGCGAAAGCGUGGGGAGCAAACAGG